CUAAACCUAUCUUUUUCCAUCGGGCAACCGUUCACCCCCUUUUUUGCCCAAACACAAACUAGAGCAGCCACAUCUGAACUCCCCCAUCUCACCGUCACCUUCCUCUCCCUCUCAGUCAUCUCCUCCCAUCUCCCCGUCUCAUUCCCUACUCACCAGCCAAACAGAUCAGACAAGUCCCCCUUUCUUCCUGUCUCUCAGUCGUCCCCAUCUUCCCCCCGGCUUGAAUUUUUCUCCCCAACACAGACCCCUCUAACCGCUACAUCUUCUUCUCCUCUUUCAGCCAACAACAUAGAGCAGCUCAAGCCCUUCCCAUCGCCAUUUUCCCUGCAAAAUCAAGGAUCCCUCACGCUCUCCUUCCACCUCCAACAGUGUCGUGCUCCCCGUCGCCUCAGACCCACGGUCUCUCCUCCGUUCGACCCUAGUGGCGGCCAAAUAGCAGCAGCC
rnacentral:lncRNA from 1 species